rnacentral:snRNA from 1 species
AACCCUUCGGUGGUACAUACAGUGGAAUGAUACAGAAAACAUCAGCAUGAUCCUGGACAAGGAUCACAUGCGAAUUCGCGAAGCGUUCCAUAUUUUU